rnacentral:rRNA from 1 species
AUUGAACGCUGGCGGCAGGCCUAACACAUGCAAGUCGAACGAGUGGCGGACGGGUGUGUAAUGUCUGGGAAACUGCCUGAUGGAGGGGGAUAACUACUGGAAACGUUAGCUAAUACCGCAUACCAUCAGAUUUGCCCAGAUGGGAUUAGCUAGGGGGUGGGGUAACGGCUCACCAGGGCGACGAUCCCUAGCUGGUCUGAGAGUAUGACCAGCCACACUGGAACGGAAACACGGUCCGGACUCCAACGGGAGGCAGCGGUGGGGAAUAUUGCAAAAGGGGCGAAAGCCUGAUGCGGAAAUGCCGCGUGUAUGAAGAGGGCCUUCGGGUUGUAAAGUACUUUCAGCGGGGAGGCGUUACCCGCAGAAGAAGCACCGGCUAACUCCGUGCCAGCCGCCGCGGUAAUAC